AGUAAGCAAGACGAUUGCGGCCCCCCCAAAGGGCUGAGGAAAGUCCGAGCACCACAGGGCAGAGUGCCGGGUAACACCCGGCGAUGGCGACAUCAGGGAAAGUGCAACAGAAAGGUACCGCCCUAUUCGUAGGGUAAGGAUGGAAAGGCGAGGUAAGAGCUCACCGGCGAUCCGGCGACGGAUCGGCCGUGUAAACCCCACUCGGUGCAAGAUUGGAAUGGGAGCAUUCAACAGCGGCCCGCUGCGCUCCUGAUAAUCGCAUGAGCCGUUUGGCAACAAACGGCCUCAGAUAGAUAAUCGUCCGCAGGGCGACCUGCGACAGAACUCGGCUUACUGCUUG
rnacentral:RNase_P_RNA from 1 species